rnacentral:rRNA from 1 species
UACGUAGGGUGCAAGCGUUGUCCGGAAUUAUUGGGCGUAAAGAGCUCGUAGGCGGUCUGUCGCGUCUGCUGUGAAAACUCAGGGCUUAACCCUGAGCUUGCAGUGGGUACGGGCAGACUAGAGUGCGGUAGGGGAGACUGGAAUUCCUGGGUGUAGCGGUGAAAUGCGCAGAUAUCAGGAGGAACACCGGUGGCGAAGGCGGCUCACUGGGCUGACCUUGACGCUGGAGGCGCGAAGGCGUGGGGAGCGAACGGG